CCUACGGGGGGCAGCAGUGGGGAAUAUUGCACAAUGGGCGCAAGCCUGAUGCAGCCAUGCCGCGUGUGUGAAGAAGGCCUUCGGGUUGUAAAGCACUUUCAGCGAGGAGGAAGGUGGUGAGCUUAAUACGCUCAUCAAUUGACGUUACUCGCAGAAGAAGCACCGGCUAACUCCGUGCCAGCAGCCGCGGUAAU
rnacentral:rRNA from 1 species